rnacentral:tRNA from 1 species
UCAAAAAAUAGUUUAAGUUAAAAUAAUAACAUUGGAAGUUAUCGAUUAAAUUUUUUUUUAUUUUUUGAU